UGAUUUUGAAAAAAAUCCUGUUUAAUUCAUAUAAAAUAUUUCAAAAUGUGAGUUUAAAUUAUUGUGUUUACAACUCUGUCGCAUUUUUCACAAAAAUAAAAACAGCACAAUAAUUUCUGAAUUUAGUGUAAGCAAGGAUUUAUAUAUAUGCUUAUUGAUUACAAAUUACAAAUAUCUAUUUUUGUCAAAAGUUUGGCAUAGAUAAGGGUCUUCUUUUUGUUAUUUUUUUUUUUAUAUAUUUCAUAGAAUCUUUAUAAGCUUAUUUGGAAGAGACUUGACAUUUUUGUUGAUAAAUAAUAGUUUGAGAACUGGACAGAUAUUUUUAAAAAUUAUUAUUUAACAGAGGAGAAACUUACUUAUAAGCUAGAAAUUAUACAGAUUUUAUUAUACUAGAAUUUAUACACACCAAGACAUACAGCAAAUUUGAAAAAAAAGGUUUGGAGUCUUUCCUUUUUCCAGCGCAAAUUAAAAAAUGAAUGUAUUUGACUAUGCAUUUUUGUGCCAUAUAUAUAAAAUUGAUUUUUUUUAUAUUCGCUUUCAUAAAUGAUGCUAUUAUUUUUUUCAUUUAUCAUUACUAUUGUUAAGAUAUACUAAACUGUAUACAUAAUAGUUGUUUCUAAUGUCUAAAAAAAUCUCUCUUUUUUUGUGUGCAUCAUAUGGUUGUUAGGUCAAUGUCAUAUACAUCAUAUAUCCGCCAAGUCACAUUAAGCUAUAAUUGCAAUUUUUCAUUAGAUGAAAUCUACCAUGCAUAAUUUCAUAUUUUUUCUAUCAAAAGACCACUUAUUGUUAGUCCAAAUAAUUAUGACGUCUUGAAAGGCUAUUAUAAUUUUUUUCUUUGACGCCUUACAUCAACGUCAUAAUGCUGAAGCCGCCAUUUUGGAUGGACUUUGAGAGCAUAUUUUGCUCUCAACUUUGAGACCCAAUUUAACCAUCAAAUUUUCAUUGAAGGCUUAAAUAAAAUGCAUAUAUUAAAAUUCUUACCUUUUAUGUGUUUAGUUUAAACAAUAUUUUAUUUCAAGAAGUGCACAAAAUAUAAUUAUACAAUAUGAAAUACAGGGAUUCGGAAACAAGAAAAACUUAUAUAAAUCGGUCUCCCUUUUAAAAAAAAUGACAAAAUUAGGAACAUAGUAUUAGAAACUCGUAUAACGUAAUUUUCAAUUCUUAGCUAACAUGUUUAUUCUGUGGUUUGCCUGUUGCUCAGAAGUCAGUUUGAUCGAAAAAUGUGAUCAACUCGUAUUUAAAUAAUUAUAGUGCAUGUAACUGAGAAAUAUGUUAAUGUUUCGAAAAUAAGGUUACAUCAAAUAAAGUUUCAAAAUCUUAAUCGACAUCGACAUAAAAACAAUUGUUACGGACCAAAUCUCCCUGUUUCUAAAAUAAAUCUUUGUACAACUUUAAAAAUAUUUUCGUUUUCCUCAUCACUGAUAAGUUCACUACAUGAUAAUAAUGUUUGUAUAUUAUAUAUUGGUAGUGUAGAAAUGGUUUGUGUUCUGAUGAGUCGAUAAUUGUGACAUUCUAGAAAAUAGUGUUUGCUGCUCUCAACUUGCCCACAUAUACAGAGACUGGAAAGAACAAUAUUUUUCUGGAAAAGGUGUUCAUUUAAACCACUGCAGUUCAACCAGAGUCUGGCGUGAAGUAUUUGGCCUUUUCUACAACCAGCAUUAUAAUACGUGGGGACUUUCUUAGUAUCACGAUUUAUAUAAUUUUUAAGUGUAAAUUUUGAAGGAUUACAUCUAACAUCUUGUGGAAGCCUGUUCCAAUCACGAAUUACAGAUGGUAGGAAAGAAUUUUGAUAAAAAGUAGUUCUACAGUUCAUAUUUUGAACAUUAAAUGCACUUCUAGUAUUAUAGUUAUAGACCUGAUAUAGUUGUUGAGGUACGAGACUACAAAGAUAAUUAGGAGCUUGAUCGUGAAACAUUUCGUGAAAUUUAAUAAUUUUAUGUCUGGAUCUUCUUUCACUCAGAGACACCCAACCAGUAUCCUUAUAAAGAUUAGAUUUAGAGCAAAGCUUAGUGGCACCUGUGACUAUACAAGCCGCUUCUAUUUGAAUGCUCUCUAGCUUGUCCUUUAAGUAAAUUGGUAUGUUAUCCCACACAGUAUCUGCAUAUUCGAGAAUGGGCCUGAUGAAGCUGAUAUAUAUAACUUGUAGAUUAUUAUGCGAUAGCUUAAACUUUAAACUCCUCAUAAGAUUUAAGCGAGGCGUAGCUUUAUCAAUAAUAUAGUUUACAUGAAUUUCCCAACAACCGUUUUCUUGAAAAAUUAACUAAUUUCAGGUCAGUGAAAAUGUACCGAGUUUGGUUCAAAAAUAUAUUUUAUACACCUAAAAUGAAGCAUCUUUAGGAGAAAUCAGCUAAACGUUUUGAUAAAGCAGUAAAUUCCCUCUCAAAGUCCAACUGAACAUAUGUGUUUGGCGUUAUGACGUCAAUGUAAGGCGUCAAAUAAAAAAAUUAUAAUAGCCUUUCAAGACGUCAUAAUUAUUUGGACUAACUUAUUGUAUGCAAUAUUCAAUUUACACUGUUUUGAGCAUUGUAAAUAUAAUCAUUUUAAAAUGUUGCUUUAGUGACCUGCUAGCAGGAUUAGUGCAUCAUAAUAUUUUUAUCUUAUUCACUGUAUCAGAAUCUUAUGCAUUCUAGCCAAUUUCUGGGUAAUAUUUGAAAAACAUGCACCAUACAUUGUAAUUGGUAAACAUUGAUCUGAACAUGGAAAUUUAACUUCAGAUUUCACAUUAUUUUCACUUGGAUGUAAAACAAUAGAAUAACAUAGUUCUGUAGAUUCUUAAACAGUAAGUUAGGAUACAUGUUACUGUAAAUUCAGAAAUUAUUGGGAGUGUUUUUUUUAUAACUGAACCGUUGAUCUUUAUGCAGAUUAUUUUGUAAUUGCAAUAAUUAAACUCACAAUUUUUUUCCAUCCGUAAUUAUUUGCAAUCUUAAAAGCACCCAAUAAUUAAUAGUUUCUGAAUUUACAUCAAUUGUUUAUACAUGUAACUGUUGACAUUGAAGCUCAUAAUCAUUUAAGUUGAAUGUUUGUCUCUCAUUGAUAAAAUCAGUGUCCUCAAUACUGUUUUUGUUACAUUUAUGUUAUUUGUUUGUUUUUGAUGAAAUAGUUUCCUUCAUGUUGGUCAGCUUAGCCCAGGCCUCACGGUCAUAAAACUUUCAAGCAUGAUUUUUGUACUCAGACUCAAAAAUCAACCAAUCAAAUUGCUUGAUUUCAUGUUUCGAGCAAUGAUUUUUGUGCUCCGAGCACAGAGCUCAGUUUUAUGCCUUCAAGUCCUGGCUUCUAUACACUUUGCAGUCAUUAAAUUUUAUGUUUCAGGUCACACUUAAACAUGCAAUUGAAAUCUCUAUAUCAUAAUUUUUUUUCAAGCAACCACUCAAAUUAACACAUGUCAGAAAUCCAAAAUAAAAUUUUCUAGAAAGACCUAAAAAAAAAAUUACAGUGACCAGUCAUUUUUAUAAAUGUAAAAAACUCAAUAAACUUAAAAUAUAUUUCAAAAAAAGAACUAAACAAAUAAAUGUAUUUGGUAAAUAUUUAUUACAUUUAUAUAUGCAGUCACGUAAUACAUAAUAAUAUUUCUCUAAUUCUAUGGAGAUUUAUCCCUUUCUGAACCCAUUAUAUAAAAAAAUUUAAUCAACGUGUGGUUGCUGGUGAUCUCAAAAGAUCAUUGGAUGAUUUUAAGGGUCACUACCUUUUUAGCUAACUGAAUGAAUCAAAAUAUGAUAACAGGUGUUAAUGAAAUUGACAACUUCGUGCAAUGUGAAAGGCACUCGAAGGGGAUUUUCGGUUAACUAAUCUAAUCAUUAGAGAAACAGAUUCUUACAUAGUUACUCGUGAAUUAUCGGAUUUAUCCAAUCUCGAUAGUUAAAUUAUAAAUUUUAAAGUCCUCACCGAGGCGGCUCGGACUUUAAAAUUGAUAAUUUAACUAUCGAGAUUGGAUAAAUCCGAUAAUCCACUGGUAUCAAUGUAAGAAUCUAUAUGUACAUAUUUUGUAUCGGACAUAUAUUUUUUUAUACAUGGCUUUACCAAGAUUUUUUUUUUUAUUAAAAUAAUGUAUUUUUUGCACAUUUUAUGUGUGGUAACAAUUUUGACAUAUCAUUGUAAUUUUGUUUAUGACAUUAUGCUUUAUACAUGUAUUUGGUUGUGAUUUACAAAGAUAAAAUAGAUUUAGAUAAACAUUCCAUAUACAUUUAUAUAUACAAUAUACUAUUAUUCCCAAAACACCAAUAUAUGGAACAUUAUUGCUGACCACCCCAUCUCUGUAUGUAACAGUUAAAUUUUACGAAAGUAGAGGGGCAUUAUCUUUUCUGGUCUGUGCAUCCGUCUGAUGGUUCGUCUUUCCUGCUUCAGGUUAAAGUUUAGGUCAAGGUAUUUUUUUAUGAAGUUGAAGACCAAUCAACUUGAAACUCAGUACAAGUGUUCCCUUUGAUAGGAUCUUUCUAAUGUUAAUGCCAAAUUAGAGUUUUUACCCCAAUUUCACGGUCCACUGAACAUAGAAAAUGAUAGUGCAAGUGGGACAUCCGUGUACUUUGGACACAUUCUUGUUAAACUCCAUUUUAUGUAAGAAAAGUAUUAUUUAAAAGUUCAUAAAGUUUGACCUUUUUCAAGACUAUAAUUUUCAUCAAAAAUAUUAAUUUAUCCUUUGAUUUAAAGUUAUCUCAUGAAAUCCAAAUAUUGAACAAUAAAAUGGGCAAAUCAUCAAACAUCUUCAGUAAUUAAUAUGCACUUUCAUUACUUGACAUCAUCUAAUUUGGUUAGAUUCCACAAAUGUUGUGAAUUCUCAGAGAUCAACAAAUAUCUGGCAUACUGAAUUCACCAAAAAAAAGAUAUAGUCAAAACCACUUGCAAGAUUUAUGUUCCACCUUGGAGCCCUUCUGGUUAAACCCUUUUUAAUGAUAACACACUCUGUUUAAUAAAAAAAAAGUGUUUAGGGAAUAAUGUUAUGUUUACAUGUUGGUUACUUUCAAGUUGUUACAUUCUGCUUAUCAUUAAUGAAGGAACUGAUUUAGAUGUAAAAUCUAAGCAUUUCCUAUGUUUUUUUAUUAAAGAUUUUAUAAGU